GAUGUUCAGAACGAUGUCGUCGGUUAGUUCCGAAAACAGGUUCUUCUUCUUUUCAAUUUCACUAUCCAUCUUCUUCUCUUUCUCUUUCUCUCACAACUCCAUUAUUAUUUAUUUAUCGGACACAGCACUACUGACAAAGCAACACACACCACACGAAUCAGGUCCAGAAAAAAGAGCUAUUAAAAUAAUGCUUUUUAUUUACUUCCACAGAUUUUUUCAGUGCUUUUCUCAUUUACGUCACCUUUUAUUAUGAAUAAUGAUAAAAAUAUCUGUCCAAGUGGAAUAACUCGAUAAAGAUUUUUUUUAUUAAGAAUGGUGGAAACUGGAAAAGCGGGCUUUUUUUUAUAUUUUACAGUUGGAUUUACUAGCUGUGUAAGUAAUUGUGUAAAACAAAAAAAGUUGUGUAAUUAAUUGCGUUUUUAACUAAAAAAUAAAAACAGAAGGUAGUCAAGGAAGUUUUUAGGAUAGUCGUUGUUGUGAUUGUUGAACAAUAAAUCAACCUAAUGUGUAUUUUUUUUAAUUAGAGAUUACAUGUGUUUCUGCAUAUAAUAUAAUUUAUGGGAUUAGAGAUUAAUUUUAUUUAUAAUAUAAUUUGUAAUUGUUGUUGAUGGAAUAAUUUUUUUAAAAAAAACCAACAUGAAUUCUCCUAGGCACUUGAAUUAUUUUUGGGUAGAGAUCAUAAACAUGUUUUUAUUGAAAAUAAUUUUAUUUAAGUCAAAUAAGAUAGGAUAAUUAUUAGUAACAAUUUUUUUCUUCAAAAUAUUUAACAUAAACACAUUAUUAAAAUUUGAACUCCAUAUUAUUUGAAGCAACUUAUUGGUAACAAUGUAUUAAAAAUGAGAAAAAAAUUUAUAUGUCAUUCAAUUACAAUCCACCAUUCAUCAUGUAUGAUAAAUUAAAAAUAAGUUAUAAUUAAAUGGUGUACACUACGUUGAUGCAUAAUAGUUAAACUCGUUAGAAAUUAGGUAGAAGUUGGAUUGGUAUUUUUUUUUUUUUUUUGCUAAUAUUUUUAAACAAUUAUUCUUGAAUAUUUAUAGAUUUCGAAAUAACAAUUUACACAAUUAAAAAUUUGAGUAUAUUAAUAUUUUUUUAAUAUAUAAAAACCAAAAUAAGAAUAAAACUAAACUUAAUGUGAUAUCUUAUUCUUGAAUUAAAAUUAAAAUUUUAUUUUAUUAAAUAGUUUUAAUAUUUUUUUAUUGUGCAAGUUAAUAAACUUAUACUCAAAUUUUAAUUAGCAGACAAUACUUAAAAAGUUUAAGGUAACGUAUCUAAGUUAGUAUUUUUUUAAGUUACAUCAGAAUAUAUUAUUUAUAUAUCCUUUUGUUUUUACUAAUUAUUCAUGUAUUCUUAUAUGCAUAAGCCUGUUACCUGUGUCCUACAAGGAACAUCAGAAUAACAUUUUUAUACUGAUUCUUUUAAUACCUUUUCAUCAAUAAUAUUAACUUACCAUUAAAAGAAUCUAGAACAAGAAUAACAUUAUUGGUUUCCCUUUUCACUUUAAAAGAUGUUAUUUAAUUUUUAAAUUAAUUUUUGCAUCAUGCAUAUGAUAAAUGCUAACUAAGUUAAAAUAAAAUUUAUGGAAUACAUAAUUAGUUAAGUACACAAAAAAUAUUUAAUAAUUACUUUGAAGCUAAAAAUACUUAACAAAAUAUAACUUUUGUAGAAAUGAGAAUGAAACUUUCUUGAAAAUAAAGAUACCCAAGAUAUUUUAUGAUAAUCACCUAAUAAAUAUGAGAAUAAACAUUCUCACCUUCCUAUUUUAGUGAAUGCAAAAUAUUCCAUAAAAUAAACGUCCUCUAAGAUCAUGUAAGAGGUUGAUGUCUUCCAACAAUUGACUUAAGAUCGAAACCUGACUAGAUGCUUAAAUUUCAUUUCUUUCCUUCAUUUCACCGUAAUCCUAUCUGUUCGUUUUUCUUAUGAGUCUACUCAAUUUUUUUCACGAGAAACUUGAGAAUUAUAUUAAAAAGAAGUAGCAAAGAUUUUUGGCAAUAAUUAUAAAAAAUUGACCAAAAUGUUUGAAUAAAAGGAAUGAAGAAAGUGGCAGAUAGAAAGAAAACACAAAAAUUACAAGGGGCACCACACGUGUCUUGUGAAACACCAGUUUAUAAUUUAUAAUUUAUCUUUUAUCUUUAUUCACAGUGAAAUAGUGUGGCAACAGAGAAAGAAGGCAGUCAAAGACACAGGUGAAAUGAGUAACAGAAAUAAUGGGAAGGAAAAAAGAAUGAAUGGGGUCCAUGAGUGAUGAAGGAGCAAAGGAGGAGAGUGAAGAGGAACAGCACAUGACAUGAAAUAAAGAUAAAGCAGAACCACACAAGGAGGACAGGCCAACAACCACCAGUGAUGCUUCGUCAUGUUUAAGAUCACUGGUCAGUCACCGUUCCCUACUUUUAAUUCGACUUGACAAUCAACUUGUCCCUAUAUGCCAACCCCCUUUAGGCUUUAGCACUUCAUUUCCUUAUCUCCACAAUCUCCAUAAAACAUGCAAUCUCUUAUCCAACUGACCAACAAAACACACAAACGCCUUUGAUAUCAAACCUCAACUACUUUCACCCCCAUAAAAAAAAAUCAUUGGCUGAAGGAGAAUACACAAC
rnacentral:lncRNA from 1 species